rnacentral:rRNA from 1 species
AGCGGGGGCUUCGGCCUGCCGGCGAGUGGCGAACGGGUGAGUAAUGCAUCGGAACGUACCCAGUCAUGGGGGAUAACUACGCGAAAGCGUAGCUAAUACCGCAUACGCCCUGAGGGGGAAAGCGGGGGACCGCAAGGCCUCGCGUGAUUGGAGCGGCCGAUGUCGGAUUAGCUAGUUGGUGGGGUAAAGGCCUACCAAGGCGACGAUCCGUAGCGGGUCUGAGAGGAUGAUCCGCCACACUGGGACUGAGACACGGCCCAGACUCCUACGGGAGGCAGCAGUGGGGAAUUUUGGACAAUGGGGGCAACCCUGAUCCAGCCAUGCCGCGUGAGUGAAGAAGGCCUUCGGGUUGUAAAGCUCUUUCAGACGGAAAGAAAUCGGGUGGGUGAAUAUCCUGCCUGGAUGACGGUACUGUCAGAAGAAGCACCGGCUAACUACGUGCCAGCAGCCGCGGUAAUACGUAGGGUGCGAGCGUUAAUCGGAAUUACUGGGCGUAAAGCGUGCGCAGGCGGUUGUGUAAGACAGGUGUGAAAUCCCCGGGCUUAACCUGAGAACUGCGCUUGUGACUGCACGGCUAGAGUACGGCAGAGGGGGGUGGAAUUCCACGUGUAGCAGUGAAAUGCGUAGAUAUGUGGAGGAACACCGAUGGCGAAGGCAGCCCCCUGGGCCGAUACUGACGCUCAUGCACGAAAG